AACAAACGCUGGCGGCGUGCCUAAUACAUGCAAGUCGAGCGGAUGAGUGGAGCUUGCUCCAUGAUUCAGCGGCGGACGGGUGAGUAAUGCCUAGGAAUCUGCCUGGUAGUGGGGGACAACGUUUCGAAAGGAACGCUAAUACCGCAUACGUCCUACGGGAGAAAGUGGGGGAUCUUCGGACCUCACGCUAUCAGAUGAGCCUAGGUCGGAUUAGCUAGUUGGUGAGGUAAAGGCUCACCAAGGCGACGAUCCGUAACUGGUCUGAGAGGAUGAUCAGUCACACUGGAACUGAGACACGGUCCAGACUCCUACGGGAGGCAGCAGUGGGGAAUAUUGGACAAUGGGCGAAAGCCUGAUCCAGCCAUGCCGCGUGUGUGAAGAAGGUCUUCGGAUUGUAAAGCACUUUAAGUUGGGAGGAAGGGCAGUAAGUUAAUACCUUGCUGUUUUGACGUUACCAACAGAAUAAGCACCGGCUAACUUCGUGCCAGCAGCCGCGGUAAAAC
rnacentral:rRNA from 1 species